rnacentral:rRNA from 1 species
AACGAACGCUGGCGGCAUGCCUAACACAUGCAAGUCGAACGAGAUCCUUCGGGGUCUAGUGGCGCACGGGUGCGUAACGCGUGGGAAUCUGCCCUUAGGUUCGGAAUAACAGUUAGAAAUGACUGCUAAUACCGGAUGAUGACGUUAAGUACAAAGAUUUAUCGCCUGAGGAUGAGCCCGCGUAGGAUUAGCUAGUUGGUGUGGUAAAGGCGCACCAAGGCGACGAUCCUUAGCUGGUCUGAGAGGGUGAUCAGCCACACUGGGACUGAGACACGGCCCAGACUCCUACGGGAGGCAGCAGUGGGGAAUAUUGGACACUGGGCGCAAGCCUGAUCCAGCAAUGCCGCGUGAGUGAUGAAGGCCUUAGUGUUGUAAAGCUCUUUUACCCGAGAUGAUAAUGACAGUAUCGGGAGAAUAAGCCCCGGCUAACUCCGUG